UCGUGUCGUGAGAUGUUGGGUUAAGUCCGUACGAGCGCAACCCUUGUCCUUAGUUACCAGCACGUUAUGGUGGGCACUCUAAGGAGACUGCCGGUGACAAACCGGAGGAAGGUGGGGAUGACGUCAAGCCAUCAUGGCCCUUACGGCCUGGGCUACACACGUGCUACAAUGGUCGGUACAAAGGGUUGCCAAGCCGCGAGGUGGAGCUAAUCCCAUAAAACCGAUCGUAGUCCGGAUCGCAGUCUGCAACUCGACUGCGUGAAGUCGGAGUCGCUAGUAAUCGUGAAUCAGAAUGUCACGGUGAAUACGUUCCCGGGCCUU
rnacentral:rRNA from 1 species